rnacentral:rRNA from 1 species
CGUAGGUGCGAGCGUUGUCCGGAAUUAUUGGGCGUAAAGGGCUCGUAGGCGGUUUGUCGCGUCGGGAGUGAAAUCCACCAGCUUAACUGGUGGUCUGCUUCCGGUACGGGCAGACUAGAGGUAUGCAGGGGAGAACGGAAUUCCUGGUGUAGCGGUGAAAUGCGCAGAUAUCAGGAGGAACACCGGUGGCGAAGGCGGUUCUCUGGGCAUGUCCUGACGCUGAGGAGCGAAAGUGUGGGGAGCGAACAGGAUU